rnacentral:tRNA from 1 species
GGCGGACGUGGCCAAGUGGA